UUCGAGGAAACUCCACCCGCAGACGGUAUCCAUCGUAAUCAUAGCCGUCGCGACCGUACACCGCGUCUUCCGCGUCUCUGCGUGAUCAGAGAAAGCAAGAGGUGUAAGAGUAAGGCCCGGGAGGGGCAGCUAACUCAGUCGGGAACUAGCGGCCCCCGCACAUGCGCACCCAGCGAGGAAGAGCCCACAUGCGCUGCAUAAUAGGAAUGGCCCCUCCCCCACCCAGAAGCACGCCAGGCUCCCGACCACUACACCAGCCCUCGGCGCCUCAGUUUCCCGCUCCGAGACGGAGAGUCCACUCUGGGGACGUCCGUGGGCCCAGCCACCAGAGAAACCACAUCGACUCGGCUCUUACUCGACUCCUGCAUGGGCGACACAGUCUUACCCCCAACCUAAAAGCCCACCUCCCCAUUCUCGGUAACAAGGCCUUUCCCCAACUACUCCAACUUAUUGCCUCCAGGCGGCGAGGCCCAGGCCGCCUCACCGAGGGUCCUCGAACUCAACGAAGGCGAAGGGCGGUCCUCCGCGGCGAUUCUUGAGAUCGAUGUCGCGGAUAGCUCCGUAUUUGUAGAACACGUCCUCAAUGUCCUUGGUUCGGAUGUCUGGAGGUAAGUUACCCACAUAGAUGCGGCAGUCGUUGUUCCCUGCCGGGCCACGAAUCACACCACCUCCCGACAUGGCGGCGACGAAAAGCGCGGACUCGAGAACAGGCCUUCCCACCAAGCCUAGCGCACGGCAGAGCGAGCCCGCAGCGACACCACGUCUCCCGCGGCCCCUCCAAAAUGGCGCCUUUAUCAGCUCGGCGCACGGAUAUGGGGGGAGGGAGGAAGAGAAGCGGGAGGAAGCUGCUAUUCGGCCUCAGUACGCACGCGCAAGAGCGUAACGGGUGCUGCGAGCGGUACGCUCACGCAUGCGCGACGUCACCCUCCGCGCGAAGGGAGAAAAAAGUUCCUCGCGUUCUGGAUUUGUGGAGUGGCUCGCAAAUGACGUGACCGGCCCUUUGGUAAAAAUUAAACAGAGAUCCCUCGUCCACGGAGCUACUAAUCCCUGACGAAUCUUAAAGGAUAGUCCGUUUUCUCAGGAAUGAGUCUCUUUUAAAACAAGUCCGCGCCUUAAAAGCAUUGGGUGAAACCUAGCCUGGAGCCUUGUCCCACGAUGCUCUGCGGCGUUAACGGCCUUUGGCGGGAAAGACUGCUGGGGGCGGAGCUAAGGGGGGAGGGACCUGGCGGUUGCUCCGGAAACGGGAACAUCCUCGUAGAGGGAGGCUGGUCCCGGAGCUCCGCUGUUGGUGCUUCAGUCCCGAGCUGAGUAGUGAUUUUGUUUUCCUGCCCCCUCUGGUCUCAGGCGGUGGGCUGCUCAGACAAGUGUCUCAUUUAGGGCAACCCAGCUUAGACCCGGUUCCACCGCCGGCUCAGAACUUGACUUUGUAUAGCUCAGCUCAACACGCCUUGACCUAGUGGCGGUGGCCGAGCCCUGACCAGUCAACUAGGACUGAGACCUCAGCUUCUCUUUAAUCGCCCAUCACUGGGCCUAGCGCAGAGGUGAGGUCCAUUGAAAGGUUGAAGAGUGAAUUGUGCCUGUUACGUAUCCAACUCUUUCAAAAAAAAAAAAACAAGAAAAAGCGCGCGUGUGUUGGCAGAAUCCUGGAGUUUGUUCCUCUUUCUGACCUCAUUCCCGAGCCUCUCAGGCUCUGAACUCCUGUGCCCUUGGAUUAUCAACAUUUGUGGUUCAGAUGUUAGUCCACUCUACUUUGGAGGGAAGAAUAAAUGAAACACAACUUUGUCUUGUGACUAACUUGAUAUCGUGGGGAUCUAGCUUAGUAGAAGGAAGGUGCUGGAAAUUUGUUCCAAUAAAAGAAAGAAGUAAACCAAGAAAAAAAGAAGACAUUGGAUGCAGAGAACAAGAAGUUUAUGUGGAGAGAAACAAUGGAAUUUCUAGUAUGAUGUCAGAGGGCAAACCCAGGAAGACAACUCUGCAGCUCUUUUUGAGGACAGCUAGUCUAGAUUAGAGCAGAACACUGAAAAACUGCAAGUGUGGUGUCUUUAGCAGGGGAAAAAAGUAAUGGAUAGAUCAUCUGAAAAAAGUGACCAUGUAAAACUUGUAUUGAAACAUUUCAGUAUUGAGUAUUGCAAGAUUUAAUGGUAAAAAUGACAGUCUUAAGCAUAAAUAAGCCUCUGAAUGUGGUAACCUUUUUCCCCCCACAUACAUGGUAGUACCUGCUACAUAUUGAAGAGGAAGAAACAAACAAAAAGCCCCACAGAAUCCUGUUCUGGUGGCCUCAAAUGAACCCAGGGUCUUCUGUGUCCAGUUGAAGUUUGCAAAGCAGAACCUUUAAAAUACUUGAACCAUUCGAAGCAGGACCUCAAGUCAAGCUGUUGCCAUAAAAACACAAAUGUUGGGACCCAGAAGACACUAAGAAAAAAAAAAAAAAAAAGAAAGUUUUGUUUGCUCUAGAAA